rnacentral:lncRNA from 1 species
AUACUCAUGAAACUGAUUGCCAGCAUGUAGUAGCCUUGAAGGUCCAAUACAAUUAGGGGAAAGUGGUUUAUUACAAGUGAUAACCUAGACUAAAAGUGGCGGCCAUGUGAGCUUAAAUCUAAUCAAAAACCAUGUGAGUAUUUUAUGGUGACUUGGAUGACCAACUGAAAACAUAACCGAAUAGCUAGUCUUACCGAGCAAAUCAAGGUCCAUAGGUGCUGAGAAUGCAGGAACUUGCUGGCUGGAGGGCGAGAGUGGUCAUGGUUACAUUAAUAAACUUAUUUAUCAGACUUUUAUUCAUUGUGGUUGUUUGGAUAAUAUU